rnacentral:tRNA from 3 species
GGGCGCGUAGCUCAGUUGGUUAGAGCAUCUGACUUUUAAUCAGAGGGUCGAAGGUUCGAAUCCUUCCGCGCUCACCA